CUUGUCGUGUAUGGAUUUCCCAUUAUUUAAUUUUAGUAUCUAACUUUUGUGCUACACCUGUUCUUUCUAUGUGUGCUACGCCUGUUACAUCUUCAGCUGUCACGUCAAUUCCAUCUAUACCACCUUCAAACAGUAAAUUUAUGAAUCUGGAAUGUCUCUGAUUGAUUAUUGAGUUCCUCUUAUUCCUAUUUACAUAAUCUAUUUAAUACUUUUGUGUUUUGUUAUAUGAAGCUAAUAG